CACACGUGCUGGAGAUAUACUUCUAAUUACAGGAGCGUCUUUACUGAUGAGAUGUACAUGAAAAUCGUAUUCGGGUUUUUUUUUUUUUUUUGCUGCACAGUCCUACUGUGAUGUCAUGUUGCCUAGGAUCCUCCCAUGACUGUUGAUUGACAAUGGUGUGUGUUUUUUUUUUUUUUUUUAAUUGCAGACUCGUCCUGAGUGAGCUGCAAACAGUCUGGAGAAUGGCUCCCAGGCUGUUGAGAUGCUCUGUUGUUGGCUUUAAGGAUGAACAUGGCUGCCGUCACUUAGUCCCGACAUCUGAGCCGCUGAAGACGCAGUGGAUUACCUUUUUGUUUUUGAAGGGGCACACAAACACAUCAGGGUGCCCCUGAUCUACCUAAAUGUGUUUGUGUGCUCAUCAUUUUACACAAGACUGCUUUGUAAACGAGGGUCAGUACAAAGCAGGAUUUGCUACAAAAUUGAUCCUGAGGGAUGGAAACCAACUGUGUGUUAUCCAGCUUCACCUUCAGCAGAAUCAAGCUCGUCUAAAGAAUGGGCCAAGGUGCAUCAUGUGGCCUGUCAGACUGACACAACACAACUCUGCACAGUUGCCACCCAGCUGUCAAUAAAAACUCUACGGCAGGCUGAAGCUAAACUAUGCAGGAUAGUGGCCCUCCAGGAUUGGAGUUGCCUAUCCCUGCUCCAUGUCCUCACUACAAAAGCAGAGGCAUUUCAGCUCAAAUAUCGUUUGCUAAGUGCUGCCAGCUGCUUCUCCACACCAGUAAAUUUAAGAUCUGGGAUCUCCCAGCUUCCAGUCAUAAUUCUAACAGGUUUCACAAGUUUUCCCGUUAGACCAUCCUUCUGUCCGAGCGACUCUCUGGGCAGAUGGGGAGUGGCUUGCUGAUCUCAUCUGUCCGAACAUUCCCGACGGCUGAGAGGAUCCUGGCUGGUUGUUGUCCUCACUUUUCUCAAUAAUUUUUUCCAGUUCAUUUUGAUUUAUGUUAGUCAUUAAUACAUUUAUGAUCAAUUGACCUUCCUGUGACAUCUGUAAUUCCCGAUAGUAUGCCUUUUAAUACAGAAUUAACUGGGUCUUUAAAUUGUCCUGUUCCCAUUAAAGUCAAAUGUAUUUGAUUCUCUCGUCUGUUUAAUGUUUCUUUUAUUACUUCUGUUGAUAUUAUCCUGGCUUCUAACCAGGAGCGUCCUG